GUGAUGCUCCUAAAUCCAGUUAGAAACAGUUUGAGAGCCAGGUUACUUGUGUAUAUUAGGAUUAUGUGGGCAAAAAUGCUGGUGAAAUUAACUGGGAGUUUCAGCCUUGUUAUUGGCAUGUUGGGGAAUUUUCCUGGUAUCAGAUAUGUGGCUGAAUAGAUGAGCUAUGCCUGGUUAAAAGUGCUUUAUCAAUCUGUAAGCAAACUUCCUUUUCCUGCCUGGAAAUGUUCACUUUACCAGAUCGGUAGGCAUCAUUGCAUUUGGCCAACUAUCUUGAUGGUUUCUUUACCUUACUUUCUGGAAAGGUCCCAAUGCUACUGUCAAGAGGAGGUAUGGCCAGAUACUCAAAUUUGCUCCAGACUUUGCUGUAUAUCAGAUGAUCCCAUGAUGCUUGCAGCCUGGAACAGUUCCUUAUAAAGGGAGAGAGGGGACAAAAUCACUUAUGCUGAAGCAACUUUAAGCAAUACACUGAAGAUUUCAAGGUAGGCAAAUUCAAACAUGUUUCUGACUUUUGGACAGACAAGCAAGUAGAUAUCUACUCUCAGGCUCUACUUUUCCUUUUUUUUUAUUUUUUUUAUUUUUAUUUUUGGAGAGGGAGUCUCACUCUGUCGCCAGGCUGGAGUGCAGUGGUGAGAACCUGGCACACUGCAACCUCUGCCUCCAGGUUCAAGAAAUUCUCCUGCCUCAGCCUCCCGAGUAGCUGGGACUACAGGUGUGUGCCACCACACCUGGCUAAUUUUUUGUAUUUUUAGUAGAGACGGGGUUUCACCAUGUUAGCCAGGAUGAUCUCAAUCUCCUGACCUCUUGAUCCACCCUCCUCAGACUUCCAAAGUGCUGGGAUUACAGGCGUGUGCCACCAUGCCUGGCCAACUCUGCUUAUCUUUUGCGACUUUAUAUUCCCAAGAUCCAUGGUCUAGAGAAUAAUAAGGACUUUAUACAUCUUGCUAAGAUAAUAACAGAGGGACAUCUGGAACAAUUUGGUCAGAUAUUUAUUUAUAUUUAUAUCUAUAUCUGUAUUUAUCUCCGUGUGUGUUAACCAUCCCAUUGAUUUUGUGUUAGGCAUGGAUUCCUAAGAGCUCAAUGGUUAU
rnacentral:lncRNA from 1 species